GCACAAACCAAGUGAAAAAAGGGAAAAAGCAGCUUUUGUCACAGCUUACUUACUUAGAAAGUCUUGGUUGUGAAGCAGUUGUUUUAUUCUUGGAGCCUGGUGAUUCUUGUCUUCAACAGUUUGGAACAGAAAAAGGAAUCAA